ACAUUAGAUACCCGGGUAGUCCCAGCUGUAAACGAUGCAGACUAGGUGUUUGGACGGCCACGUGCCGUUCUAGUGCCGCAGGGAAGCUGUUAAGUCUGCCGCCUGGGGAGUACGAUCGCAAGAUUGAAACUUAAAGGAACUGGCGGGGGAGCACCACAAGGGGUGAAGCUUGCGGUUUAAUUGGAGUCAACGCCGGAAAUCUCACCGGGAGCGACAGCAGUGUGAUAGCCAGAUUAAAGGUCUUGCUAGACGAGCUG
rnacentral:rRNA from 1 species